AGCGAACGCUGGCGGCAGGCCUAACACAUGCAAGUCGAACGAACUCUUCGCAGUUAGUGGCGGACGGGUGAGUACCACUUAGUAACGUUCCUUUUGGCUCCGAAUCACUCCGGGAAACUUUUGCUAAUCCCGAAUGUGCCCUUCGUUGUUAAGAUUUAUCGCCAUUAGACCGGCCCGCGUCUGCUUAGCUAGUUGGUGAGUUAACGGCUCACCAACGCGACGAUCAGUAGCUGGUCUGAGAGGGUGACCAGCCACACUGGGACUGAGACACGGCCCAGACUCCUACGGGAGGCAGCAGUAGGGAAUCUUGCGCAAUGGGCGAAAGCCUGACGCAGCCAUGCCGCGUGAAUGAUGAAGGUCUUAGGAUUGUAAAAUUCUUUCACCGGGGACGAUAAUGACGGUACCCGGAGAAGAAGCCCCGGCUAACUUCGUG
rnacentral:rRNA from 1 species